GCCACCUGGGGAGCGUGGGGGGGGGCAGUGGGGAGGCAGAACGACACACCCGCGCCCGCCGGGACACGGGAAAGGGAGUGGCAUCGCGUUCUGCCUAGUCAUCGCCUGCGAGGUCGCGUCAUCCCUGAUGUCAGGCCUUCGAGGGGCUUCGUUCCAGCUCCGGGCUCCAGGAAAGGACGUCGCGGGGCCCAGAGGUUACACAACCUCCCCAAGGUCGCGCCGGAAGGGCCCGGCACGCCAGGGAAUCCGGACCCGGCCCGGUGUGUCCGCGGGCACGGUCCGCAGGUGGUCCGGCUCCGCGCAGUGCUCUUGACCAACCCGCGGCCUUGUCCUAGCGUCCUUCUUCCUGGCUCAAAAAUGGUCUUUCAUGCUAAGCUGUCCUUGGCGGCUGUAUCAUUAAAAAAGAGCCUCUUGAAACCACACGUGUUUUGAAAUGAACCCGAGAGGGGUGUGAGUGGAGGCGGGUGUACUCCUUCCGUUCCAGCCGCAGAGCGCUGCCCUCCUGCCCGGCCCUGCUCGGACCCCGCGAGCGCGCGGGUGGCACACGAGGGCCUUCCGACAGCUCCGUGAGGCUCUCCUGAAAGCUCGCGAGUCCUUGGGCUCUGAGUGGUUGGAGUUCGGUCCAUUAUGAGAAAUCUCCUUUUGAGCAUGGAUAUAUUCAAAUCCAGAUGUUGUCCCCGUAGAACAAAAAGCUCUCCUAAUUCUCUUUAUGAAGAAGGAAGUUCUCUUUGAAGGAAUAACAUCUCUUGAGAAGUGCUUUUUUUUUUUUUUUUUUUUUUCCUCCCAGCCAAGGACCUGCUGCUCUGGAAUGUUUUAAAGCCGAUUUAAUAGCCUCUCUCCAUUCCACUUCAGAUGCCAGGACGCCAGCGACAAGGUGAAUGUCACCCGCUGAUGGAUUCAAUAGAUUGGUAGGGCCCAGUGUUUUUGAGACUCUCUGAGGGCUCAAAGCAGGAUCCUCUCCUGACCUGACUUGCACCUGCUCUUGACAAUCACGGAGUGGGCUCUCAGUUCUUCUCUGGAGCGGGGCAGGAGGAUACUUCGCUCCUUCCUCAGUACCUGGGUCUUCUCUCCAAGCUAGGGACAGACAUGUUGCAUGGGGUUCUUGACCCAGCCAGCCAGUAUCCUGGGACCCGAGUUUCCCCAUCAAUAACAGACAAGAGUGAAGAGAUGAGCUCUGUUACAGAGCUUGUGCACUGUGAGGAAAACCAAGACUUGCAGGAUUCAAACCCAGUUCUGUCUGGCACCCAAUCCGUGCUUUUCGGCACGACUUUAGCCACUGGCCAGCAUCAGUAUGGCCUAGAAUUGGGCCCACUAGGAGUCAUCUUCUUGCAAGCUGCUAAAUGGCGUUCCUUGGGCACUCCUCAAAGACCCCCAAGUCCUACGCCUGGAUCAGAAGCUGUGGAGAGCGGAGGACUUCCAGGGGCUUCGGAAAGAACACCAGAUGCCUCAACCAUGACAGGUCCCCCAUCCCCCACCAAGUGGGUGACCAGUUCUGGACCUCUGCGGACCUCACCCAGGCUGGCCAGGUGGUAAGAAAUUAGGCAAGCUCCAGGAAGGAAGCUGACGAGCCCAGCCUCCAAAGACAGACAAGCGUAGGCUGGGCACCAUUCUAUCCAGAGUGCUCCUGGGAAUUAAGGCCAACAUUUGCAAAAUCCAGCUGUAAGUGGAGCAGGGGUUCCCCAGAGCAGCCCUGGAUUCUGCAGAAGAGUCAGCUUCUCAGGAAAGAGCCGCCUUCAAGAGCCGGAAGAGAGUGAGACUUCAGUUCACUUGGGGAGGGGACAGAGCUGCAUGACUCAUCACCCGGUCUUGCUGGCUACAAAUGGCACAGCACUGGACCUCCCAGAGGAGGUCCCAGGCAGGCAAUCACAAUCCGGCACGUAGGGACACAGGCCGGGUGCCGUGGGAGCACUAGGGAGGAAGCAGAGUGGCGUUUGAAGAGUCUCGGCGGGCCUCCCAGAGGAGGUGACAUCAUCAAAAAGAUGAAUGGAAUUGGUCAGGUGGCAGUCCGAGGGAAGGAGGGGAGGGCACUCCCUGCCAAGGAAGAAGCAGAUGCAAAGCACUGGCCCAGUGCCUGCAGCCUGGUGAGCAGUCCUUCAAGGUGAGGCGUUAUCGCUGCGGCUGACUUACCAUCAUCACAGUGAUUAACCUGGGCUUGUUUCUUAAUAUUUUUCUUAUCUUAAAGUUAGUUCCUGCAAUGAAUAAAUGCCUCAUGGCACUGAGCUUUUCCUUACUAUAAAAGGGUGGCGCUGAAAAUCAGGAGUUCGGUAUCCUCAGCGCUCAGCCUGAGUAGCUGAGACCAGCGGGGGUGGGGAGUAGGGCAUGGAAAGGGGCCUUGUUCUGCCUCUCUCCUUGGCUGGCGGCCCUCCCCUGGGGGGCAUAGGAGGGAACAUUCUGGGGUCUUUAAAGUUGAGAGGCAACAAGGCAGGGACCUGGGUAGACAGGGUCAGGCAAGUCCCAAGGAAGAGCUUCCCGGCCUGGCUAGAAAUGAACGCUCCCUCCUCCCUAGGUCUUCUGUGGCCUCUUAAAACAGGAAGGUACUGGAGGUGAGUACCUCAGAAGGAGCUCUGCGAAUCCCAACUCUACAGGCCCUGGGCAAACGACUUCACCUUUCUGAAACUCUGAGGUUUUUGGGUUUUUUUUUUUUAAGAUUUUAUUUAUUUAUUUGACAGACAGAGAUCACAAGUAGGCAGAGAGGUAAGUAGAGAGGGGAAAGCAGGCUCCCCGCUGAGCAGAGAGCCCUACGUGGGGCUCGAUCCCAGGAUCCUGCGAUCAUAACCUGAGCCGAAGGCAGAAGCCUAAACCACUGAGCCACCCAGGCGCCCUGAAACUCUUGAGUUUUUGUUGCUUCAACUCUACAAGUGCAUUAAGAUAUGUACGAGAAUUUCAAAGCACAUGCCUAGUAACAGCUACCUAUGUAAAUAAGUAACAAAUCCCAGAAAUCACAUCCGAUAACAGAACAGACAAAUAACUAGUGGUAUAGUUCUAAAAUGGAAUAUUAUUCAAUCGUAAAAUAAAUAACUUAUAGGGACACUGACAACAGAAAUGUAUUUUAAAAAAACAUUUCUUUUUUAUGUCGGGGAGCCUGGCUGGCUCAGUCGGUGGAAUGUGCAACUCUUGAUCUUGGGGUUGUGGGUUCAAGCCCCACAUUGGGUGCAGAGACUAGUUAAAAAUAAAUCUUAAAAAAAAAAAUUCUGCGUGAAAAUAGGGAGUCACAUAAUUAUAGAAUGAUUCCAUCUGCACACAAAAAAGGCAAAACUAAACUAAACAAUAUGAUGUUUAGGGAUUUAUACCGAAGUGGUAAAACCAAGAGAAAACCAAGGAAAUGAUUAGCACAAUUAAAACAAAAUUCAGGAAAAUGGUCCUUCAAGGAUGAAGGGCGGAAGCUGCAGUGGAGGCAUGUGGAGGGUCUCAAAGCUACUGGUAUGGGUCUAGUUUUUCAGCUAGCUAGUGGACACAUAGAUAUUUUAUUGUUACUACUAUUAUCCAUUAAGCCAUACCUGUGGAGCAUAUACAGUGUCUUUUACCAUAAAACUUUAUGGCUGUUACACUAUACUUACCUUAUAGGAUGCAUGCCUACGAUAAGGCAGAGAAAAUUAAAGUACUGGUACACAGUCAGCUCUCAGUUUUGAGGGCUUUGGCUCUCUAAGCCUCAGUUUCCCCAUCUUCAAAGAGAGCACGUGAUACUGCUGAGGCUUCAUCCUCUAGCUUGAGGGUUCUGUGUUCCCCUUUUAAACACAUACACACACACACACACACACACACUUGAGGGCAGGUGUCAGCCCCAAUCUUCUCACCAAAAAGUCUCCCCUCUGCCCCAGGUCACUGGUGGUUUCAAAAAUGGCAAAGGUGGCUCCUGGGGCCCUGGCGUGGAAGCCCCUGGUCCUCCUUCCAGUCCUUUCCAGACAGGGCAAUUAAGCCUUUUCUGAAUUUCUCGAGGGUAAAAUGGGCCUAGCAAUCUGUCCUCCUCACCUAAGGCCACGGAUAAACAGUGGAAAGUGCUGUGCUGCAGUGGGAGGCCAUGACUGCCUGACCUGGGACCUAAGAGCACCCUCACGGCGCGGGGCGGGGUGGGGUGCAUCCGUGAGCUGCGCGAGAGAAUACUGUGUGAACACUCCUGGUGAUUGGUGUAAACGGACUUCUUUGCCAAGUUUUUCGCCUCGGCCACUGUGUACUUCCUGAUUGCACUUUCCUAUCCUGCUAAGUGUCCUCACCACGGCCCCACCUGUGUGUCCCUGUUCCAGUCACGGUGUACCUGUUGAGUGCUCCUGGCUCGGUCUGAAAGGUGCCCGUCUUUGCAACU